GAAUAUUGGACAAUGGGCGAAAGCCUGAUCCAGCAAUGCCGCGUGAGUGAUGAAGGCCUUAGGGUUGUAAAGCUCUUUUACCCGGGAUGAUAAUGACAGUACCGGGAGAAUAAGCUCCGGCUAACUCCGUGCCAGCAGCCGCGGUAAUACGGAGGGAGCUAGCGUUGUUCGGAAUUACUGGGCGUAAAGCGCACGUAGGCGGCUUUGUAAGUUAGAGGUGAAAGCCCAGGGCUCAACCCUGGAAUUGCCUUUAAGACUGCAUCGCUUGAACAUCGGAGAGGUAAGUGGAAUUCCGAGUGUAGAGGUGAAAUUCGUAGAUAUUCGGAAGAACACCAGUGGCGAAGGCGACUUACUGGACGAUUGUUGACGCUGAGGUGCGAAAGCGUGGGGAGCAAACAG
rnacentral:rRNA from 1 species